GACGAACGCUGGCGGCGUGCUUAACACAUGCAAGUCGUACGACAGCAUUUCCUUUUAGGUUGUGUUUGGAGUGGCGAACGGGUGAGUAACACGUGAGUGACCUGCCCUUCACUUUGGGAUAACGUGCGGAAACGUGCGCUAAUACCAAAUAUUCGCAUUUCUGCUGCAUGGUGGGGUGUGGAAAGGGGGCCUUCGGGUUCGUGGUGGGGGAGUGGGCGUCGCGGCCUAUCAGCUGUGNGGUGGGGUGGAUGGCCUACCAAGGCGUGGACGGGUAGCCGGCCGUGAGAGGGUGGUUCGGUCACACUGAGACUGAGAUACGGCCCA
rnacentral:rRNA from 1 species